rnacentral:piRNA from 1 species
AGGAGUGUCACAGUCACUGCUGCUCA